GCCAAUCAGCAGCAGACCCUCCCUCCCAGACCCUCCCACCUCCUGGACAGCUCACUAAGAAUGCAGCUUCACAAUGAAUGUAAAAUGGAUGCUGUCCAGGAGGUGGGAGGGUCUGGGAGGGAGGGUCUGCUGCUGAUUGCCU